UACGGGGGGGGCAAGCGUUGCUCGGAAUUACUGGGCGUAAAGGGCUCGUAGGCGGCCAACUAAGUCAGACGUGAAAUCCCUCGGCUUAACCGGGGAACUGCGUCUGAUACUGGAUGGCUUGAGUUUGGGAGAGGGAUGCGGAAUUCCAGGUGUAGCGGUGAAAUGCGUAGAUAUCUGGAGGAACACCGGUGGCGAAGGCGGCAUCCUGGACCAACACUGACGCUGAGUGAGCGAAAGCCAGGGGAGCAAACGGG
rnacentral:rRNA from 1 species